AGUGAACGCUGGCGGUAGGCCUAACACAUGCAAGUCGAACGGCAGCACAGUAAGAGCUUGCUCUUACGGGUGGCGAGUGGCGGACGGGUGAGGAAUACCUCGGUAUCUACUUUUUCGUGGGGGAUAACGUAGGGAAUCUUACGCUAAUACCGCAUACGACCUACGGGUGAAAGCAGGGGAUCUUCGGACCUUGCGCGAUUGAAUGAGCCGAUGUCGGAUUAGCUAGUUGGCGGGGUAAAGGCCCACCAAGGCGACGAUCCGUAGCUGGUCUGAGAGGAUGAUCAGCCACACUGGAAAUGAGACACGGUCCAGACUCCUACGGGAGGCAGCAGUGGGGAAUAUUGGACAAUGGGCGCAAGCCUGAUCCAGCCAUACCGCGUGGGUGAAGAAGGCCUUCGGGUUGUAAAGCCCUUUUGUUGGGAAAGAAAAGCAGCAGGUUAAUACCCCGCUGUUCUGACGGUACCCAAAGAAUAAGCACCGGCUAACUUCGUG
rnacentral:rRNA from 1 species